rnacentral:rRNA from 1 species
AGUGAACGCUGGCGGUAGGCCUAACACAUGCAAGUCGAACGGCAGCACAGUAAGAGCUUGCUCUUACGGGUGGCGAGUGGCGGACGGGUGAGGAAUACAUCGGAAUCUACUUUUUCGUGGGGGAUAACGUAGGGAAACUUACGCUAAUACCGCAUACGACCUACGGGUGAAAGCAGGGGAUCUUCGGACCUUGCGCGAUUGAAUGAGCCGAUGUCGGAUUAGCUAGUUGGCGGGGUAAAGGCCCACCAAGGCGACGAUCCGUAGCCGGUCUGAGAGGAUGAUCAGCCACACUGGAACUGAGACACGGUCCAGACUCCUACGGGAGGCAGCAGUGGGGAAUAUUGGACAAUGGGCGCAAGCCUGAUCCAGCCAUACCGCGUGGGUGAAGAAGGCCUUCGGGUUGUAAAGCCCUUUUGUUGGGAAAGAAAAGCAGCAGGUUAAUACCCCGCUGUUCUGACGGUACCCAAAGAGUAAGCACCGGCUAACUUCGUG